rnacentral:rRNA from 1 species
ACGGGUGAGUAACGCGUGGGUAAUCUACCCUUGAAUUGGGGAUAACAUUGCGAAAGCGAUGCUAAUACCGAAUAAUAUCCAGAUUUUUCCGAAUUUCUGGAUCAAAGAUGGCCUCUUCUUGAAAGCUAUUGUUUGAGGAUGAGCCCGCGUCCCAUUAGCUUGUUGGUAGGGUAAUGGCCUACCAAGGCAACGAUGGGUAGCUGGUCUGAGAGGAUGAUCAGCCACACUGGAACUGACACACGGUCCAGACUCCUACGGGAGGCAGCAGUGAGGAAUUUUGCGCAAUGGGGGAAACCCUGACGCAGCAACGCCGCGUGAGUGAUGAAGGCUUUCGGGUCGUAAAGCUCUGUCAAGUGGGAAGAAAAUAUAGAUGGCUAAUAUCCAUUUGUACUGACGGUACCACUAAAGGAAGCACCGGCUAACUCCGUGCCAGCAGCCGCGGUAACACGGGGGGUGCAAGCGUUACUCGGAAUCAUUGGGCGUAAAGGGCGCGCAGGCGGCCUGGUUAGUCAGAUGUGAAAGCCCGGGGCUCAACCCCGGAAGUGCAUUUGAUACUGCCA